rnacentral:lncRNA from 1 species
UCAACUGCGAAAAAGUACAUAUGUGUAAGAAAAGAGUGCUUAAAACCUACUCGUGAGAAAAUUCAAUAUUUAAAGAUAAGUAAAGGAGGAGGCUCAUGUGUAGAGUCUAUAUACAAAUUGGAAGUGGUGGUGACUGAAAAAAAUGCAUUAAAAUUAACCAAAUUUUCUCUUUUCUAGGCACUGUCCUAAUUGUAGAUGCUUGAGAAAAUAGAGAUGUAAUCAUGGAUACCCACCAGGUAUUUGAGUCAGGUUCUUCAAUGCAAAAGUCACAUAGAAGCUGCUGCUUUAAUGUUUGUAACAGACUUCCAAACUAAUGUCUCUUAUAAUGUCCCUGUGUAUUAAGAUUUCCAUAAAACCAUUACAAUUUCUAUUUAUUUUGUCUAGAUGUAAAGCAGACGGCAUAUCAUAUUACAUAUAUUGCUAAAAUUCUUGCAGCCUAAUGUAUACAGAUUUGUGAAUUUUGAGUGAUCUGAAGUUCAUGAAUAUUUUGAGGUUGGUUUGUUUUGUCUUGUUCAAAGCCUAGAUAUCAUGUUUUUUCAGUUUAACAUAUUUCUUGAGGGAAAAGAAAUGUUUAGAUUUCCAGCUAGUUAUAAAAUUGUCAGAAAGAAUAGAAGUUAAACAUACAGAGAAACAAAGGUUACACAUCUGGGAAAAUAGUAGAAAAGCCUUUAUAUAGUCUUGGCAAAUGAAUUCAGAGGUUUUAUUUUUAAUCACAACUGUGAAGAAAGAAAGAUUACCUUUUGGGGAAAUUAAUGAAUAUUGUGGGCUUAGACAUAAAAUAAUUGUUAAUUGCUCCAUUUAUUAGAAAUCAUAUGUCAAAAGUGUUUUAUCAUCAGUAAUACAAUAGCAAUAGAGAUAAAAAUAUAUACGGAUAUUUGAUUUUGAUGAUUUUAAUCUCCUAUGCCAUUUCCAUAACAACAUGAUUAUUCACACCUGUCAAACUGAUGGGUGAGAAUGUCAACUUGCCCUUGAAUGCCAAAGACUAUUUUCAGACCCUUGAGUUUUCUCACCAAUUCAAUCCAUUUUGCAUGCUUCUGACAUGCCUUUUAGAAGACCAAUUUGCUUAUAUCUCUUUACCUAUUUACUGAAACCCUCAUUUAUUAGCUUGGCAUUCAAAGUCUUCUACAGUCUUGCCAUAUCUCAC